CCAAACUGCAGUGGAAGACAGCUAAUAUCUUCCAGGAUUUUCCAUGAUUAAGAAACUGUCUGAAAGAGACUGGAGAGCACACACCCUGAGCAAAACUGAGAUUCAGAAGUGAGAUCCAGCUAUCAGUGUACGGGGCAGCUUUGAUGAAUUUUCCAAGGGCAUGGCCAGAUACUCUCCUACAGAGAAGCAGCAGGCUUUCAUGGCAAGCCAGAAGGAGCUGCUUUCCUUGCCAUUAAUGCCACCUGGAGAUUGAAAACCCUAGGAGGAGCUUCAUGUCCAUCCAUCAAAGGCAACACAAAGAGAGAGACUUCAGGAGGUCAGAUGUUGAAAAACCAUGAAAAGCUCACAUUUCCCUGGAGUGCUCUGAGUUCU